UACGGCCAAAUCAUGUUGGAAGACCGUUUCUCGUCCGAUCACUAAAGUUAAGCAACGUCGAUCCUGGUCAGUACGUUGAUAGGUGACCUCUUAGGAAUAAUGUGUG